UGGGUUUGACAUAUUGGUGGUAGGAAACCGAAAGGUGACCGACUCUUCGGAGAGCCAUUACAGGUGAUGCAUGGCUGUCGUCAGCUCGUGCCGUGAGGUGUCCGGUUAAGUCCGGUAACGAGCGCAACCCUCGCUGUAUGUUAUACGUGUCAUACGGGACUGCCGGUAUAAAGCCGGAGGAAGGUGAGGACGACGUCAAGUCAGCAUGUCCUUUAUUAUCCAGGGCUACACACACGCUACAAUGGUCGGUACAAUAGGUCGCAAAGCCGCAAGGUGGAGCCAAUCCCAAAAGCCGGCCUCAGUUCGGAUUGUAGGCUGCAACUCGCCUACAUGAAGU
rnacentral:rRNA from 1 species